rnacentral:rRNA from 1 species
AACGAACGCUGGCGGCAGGCUUAACACAUGCAAGUCGAACGGCUGUAGCAAUACAGCAGUGGCAGACGGGUGAGUAACACGUGGGAACCUUCCUAGGGGUACGGAACAACUCAGGGAAACUUGAGCUAAUACCGUAUACGUCCGUAAGGAGAAAGAUUCAUCGCCCCUAGACGGGCCCGCGUCGGAUUAGGUAGUUGGUGGGGUAACGGCCUACCAAGCCUACGAUCCGUAGCUGAUCUGAGAGGANGAUCAGCCACACUGGGACUGAGACACGGCCCAGACUCCUACGGGAGGCAGCAGUGGGGAAUCUUGGACAAUGGGCGCAAGCCUGAUCCAGCCAUGCCGCGUGAGUGAAG